UACAGAGGUCUCAAGCGUUGUUCGGAUUCAUUGGGCGUAAAGGGUGCGUAGGCGGCGCGGUAAGUCGGGUGUGAAAUCUCGGGGCUUAACUCCGAAACUGCAUUCGAUACUGCCGUGCUUGAGGACUGGAGAGGAGACUGGAAUUUACGGUGUAGCGGUGAAACGCGUAGAUAUCGUAAGGAAGACCAGUGGCGAAGGCGGGUCUCUGGACAGUUCCUGACGCUGAGGUACGAAGGCCAGGGGAGCAAACGGG
rnacentral:rRNA from 1 species